rnacentral:misc_RNA from 1 species
UAAAGUGCGAUAUGUAGUGCGAUUUGCAUGAAUCUGUGAGUCAUCGAAUCUUUGAACGCAACUUGCACCUCUUGGGUAACUGAGAGGUAUGUCUGUUUGAGUACCUGAAUCAUCUUAUUAUUAUGUAUAAUAGAUUUUGAGGUUUUGUCGAUUUUCUCUAUAUAUGAGAGAAAGACUACCUUUAAAAAUACAAUAAGGGUAUAGAAUCCCAAAACUAUGUGCUAAGGACCAGCAAGGUCUUGUCAUAGUUUUUGAUUUCUAACUCAAUGGCCUCAUUAACUUUAAAAGGCCUCAAAUCAGACAAGAUUACCCGCUGAACUUAA